UACGGGGGGAGCAAGCGUUGUUCGGAUUUACUGGGCGUAAAGGGCGCGUAGGCGGCUUUCCGAAGUCACUUGUGAAAUCUCCGGGCUUAACUCGGAACGGUCAAGUGAUACUGUGAGGCUAGAGUGCGGAAGGGGCAACUGGAAUUCUCGGUGUAGCGGUGAAAUGCGUAGAUAUCGGGAGGAACACCAAUGGCGAAGGCAGCUCGCUGGACGUGACUGACGCUGAGACGCGAAAGCGUGGGGAGCGAAGUGGGA
rnacentral:rRNA from 1 species